rnacentral:rRNA from 1 species
UGGGGAAUUUUGGACAAUGGGGGCAACCCUGAUCCAGCAAUGCCGCGUGCAGGAUGAAGGCCUUCGGGUUGUAAACUGCUUUUGUACGGAGCGAAAAGGUCUGCCCUAAUACGGUGGGCUCAUGACGGUACCGUAAGAAUAAGCACCGGCUAACUACGUGCCAGCAGCCGCGGUAAUACGUAGGGUGCGAGCGUUAAUCGGAAUUACUGGGCGUAAAGCGUGCGCAGGCGGUUUAGUAAGACAGGCGUGAAAUCCCCGGGCUCAACCUGGGAACUGCGCUUGUGACUGCUAAGCUAGAGUACGGUAGAGGGGGAUGGAAUUCCGCGUGUAGCAGUGAAAUGCGUAGAUAUGCGGAGGAACACCGAUGGCGAAGGCAAUCCCCUGGACCUGUACUGACGCUCAUGCACGAAAGCGUGGGGAGCAAACA